ensembl:snRNA U6 U6 spliceosomal RNA
GUGCUUGCUUCGGAGGCACAUAUGCCCAAAUUAGAAAGAUACAGAGAAGAUUAGCAUGGCCCCUGCACAAGGAUGACACACAAAUUCGUGAAGUGUUCCAUUUUUUU